rnacentral:rRNA from 1 species
UACGUAGGGUGCAAGCGUUACUCGGAAUUACUGGGCGUAAAGCGUGCGCAGGCGGUUGUGUAAGUCUGUCGUGAAAUCCCCGGGCUCAACCUGGGAAUUGCGAUGGAGACUGCACGGCUAGAGUGUGUCAGAGGGGGGUAGAAUUCCACGUGUAGCAGUGAAAUGCGUAGAUAUGUGGAGGAACACCGAUGGCGAAGGCAGCCCCCUGGGAUAACACUGACGCUCAUGCACGAAAGCGUGGGGAGCAAACAGG